CUUGGUCAUUUAGAGGAAGUAAAAGUCGUAACAAGGUUUCCGUAGGUGAACCUGCGGAAGGAUCAUUACUGAACGAAAUGGGUGGCAAGGCUGUCGCUGGCUCGAAUGAGCAUGUGCACGUCUUUUGCUGCUUGCUUCAUUCUCUUCUCCACCUGUGCACUCUUUGUAGACACUCGGGAUGUGAGAGAGGUUAGCAUUGAUUGUUGACCUCUGUCUGGGUGUUUAUGUAUUUUUUGACAUACACGUUUGAAUGUCUAUAGAAUGAAAAUGUAGGCUUUUGUCAGCCUUUAAAUGAUAAAAUACAACUUUCAACAACGGAUCUCUUGGCUCUCGCAUCGAUGAAGAACGCAGCGAAAUGCGAUAAGUAAUGUGAAUUGCAGAAUUCAGUGAAUCAUCGAAUCUUUGAACGCAUCUUGCGCUCCUUGGUAUUCCGAGGAGCAUGCCUGUUUGAGUGUCAUUAAAUAUCUCAAAAAGCUUGUGCUUUUUUGGCACAGGAGUUUUGGACAUUGGGAGUUGCCGGCUGCUGGAUAACAGUGGUGGGCUCUUCUGAAAAGCAUUAGUUGAGGAGCUUUGCACUCUAUUGGUGUGAUAGACUAUCUAUGCCAGGAGACGCUUCAUGAUCCUCUGCCAUCUAACCGUCUUUAUAAGACAAUAUGAUAAACUUGACCUCAAAUCAGGUAGGACUACCCGCUGAACUUAAGCAUAUCAAUAAGCGGAGGAA
rnacentral:rRNA from 1 species